rnacentral:tRNA from 1 species
GGGCGAGUGGCGGAAGGGCAGACGCACGGGACUUAAAAUCCCUUGGGCCGAAAGGCCCGUGGAGGUUCGAAUCCUCCCUCGCCCA